rnacentral:lncRNA from 10 species
CAGCAGGCCAAAUUUCAGGCCUAGUUGAGAAGAGGGUUCAGAGGAGACUGACUAAAGUUUGGUUGACGACGGAGUCCUUGUCACAGCAAAGAAUCAUCCUGCCCUUGUCUAUUCUUGGGUAAAACCCACCCCAGCCUUCCUCAUGGCUCCUUUUUGGUGCUGUGUUUCAGGCAGGAGCAGAAUCCUCACCUUUGGAACCCUGUUCACUCCACCCAGAUUGAAAGCUUUCUGACAUUGGAGAUGUGUUUAUGUCUCUGAACCCAUUUCCUGCAUCCAGCCAAUGCUCCAUUUGUUAAAUGGAGUUGAAAACAACGGAACCAGAAAACAGAACUUCUUGACUUGUGCUCGCCAAGAUCGUGUUUACAUAAAACUAGUUUGACCUAAUGAUUAAAAAAAAAUUUCCUUCACUAAAGCCAGACAUUUUGCG